AUUGAACGCUGGCGGCAUGCCUAACACAUGCAAGUCGAACGGCAGCACGGCAGUAGCAAUACUGUGGGUGGCGAGUGGCGGACGGGUGAGGAAUACGUCGGAAUCUGCCCAGUCGUGGGGGAUAACUAGCCGAAAGGUUAGCUAAUACCGCAUACGACCGAGAGGUGAAAGCGGGGGACCGCAAGGCCUCGCGCGAUUGGAUGAGCCGACGUCGGAUUAGCUAGUUGGUGGGUAAAGGCCCACCAAGGCGACGAUCCGUAGCUGGUCUGAGAGGAUGAUCAGCCACACUGGAACUGAGACACGGUCCAGACUCCUACGGGAGGCAGCAGUGGGGAAUAUUGGACAAUGGGCGCAAGCCUGAUCCAGCAAUGCCGCGUGUGUGAAGAAGGCCUCGGUU
rnacentral:rRNA from 1 species